AGAAACAGAUAAUUAUGAGUCCGAAGAUAGUGAAACAUACACAGAAAUAUUAACAAAUACAAAAAAUUUAGAAAUUAAUGAAGAACAAAAUAUUAAUGAGGAAAACUUAGAAAAUACCCAAACAGAAAUAAAUACUCUUGAUACAAAAGAAAAUAAAAAUAUAAUACCUAAACCAACAGAAUUAAGAAAACCUAUAUAUUAUAAGAAUAAGUUUAAAAAAUAUAAUGAAUAUGAUAAAUGGAUACCAAAACAAAU
rnacentral:lncRNA from 1 species